ensembl:snRNA U6 U6 spliceosomal RNA
GUGCUCACUUCAGCAGCGUAUAUACUAUAAUUGGAAUAAUGUAGAGAAGAUUACCAUGGCCUCUGCACAAAUAUGACACAUUGAUUCUUGGAUAUAUUCUAUAAAUUA